GAGUUUGAUUCUGGCUCAGAUUGAACGCUGGCGGCAUGCUUUACACAUGCAAGUCGAACGGCAGCGCGGGCUUCGGCCUGGCGGCGAGUGGCGAACGGGUGAGUAAUACAUCGGAACAUGCCCACUUGUGGGGGAUAGCUCGGCGAAAGCCGGAUUAAUACCGCAUGAGAUCUACGGAUGAAAGCAGGGGACCUUCGGGCCUUGCGCGAGUGGAGUGGCCGAUGGCAGAUUAGGUAGUUGGUGGGGUAAAGGCCUACCAAGCCUGCGAUCUGUAGCUGGUCUGAGAGGACGACCAGCCACACUGGGACUGAGACACGGCCCAGACUCCUACGGGAGGCAGCAGUGGGGAAUUUUGGACAAUGGGCGCAAGCCUGAUCCAGCAAUGCCGCGUGCAGGACGAAGGCCCUCGGGUUGUAAACUGCUUUUGUACAGAACGAAAAGAGCUGGGUUAAUAUCCCUGG
rnacentral:rRNA from 2 species